GACGAACGCUGGCGGCGCGCCUAACACAUGCAAGUCGAACGAGCGAGAGGAGGUUUCCUUUCUCAAGCGAGUGGCGAACGGGUGAGUAACGCGUGAGGAACCUGCCUCAAAGAGGGGGACAACAGUUGGAAACGACUGCUAAUACCGCAUAAGCCCACGACCCGGCCUCGGGUAGAGGGAAAAGGAGCAAUCCGCUUUGAGAUGGCCUCGCGUCCGAUUAGCUAGUUGGUGAGGUAAUGGCCCACCAAGGCGACGAUCGGUAGCCGGACUGAGAGGUUGAACGGCCACAUUGGGACUGAGACACGGCCCAGACUCCUACGGGAGGCAGCAGUGGGGAAUAUUGCACAAUGGGGGAAGCCCUGAUGCAGCGACGCCGCGUGGAGGAAGAAGGUCUUCGGAUUGUAAACUCCUGUUGUUGAGGAAGAUAAUGACGGUACUCAACAAGGAAGUGACGGCUAACUACGUG
rnacentral:rRNA from 1 species